GAUGAACGCUGGCGGCGUGCUUAACACAUGCAAGUCGAACGGUGAAGGCGGAGCUUGCUCUGCUGGAUCAGUUGCGAACGGGUGAGUAACACGUGAGCAAUCUGCCCCUGACUCUGGGAUAAGCUCUGGAAACGGCGUCUAAUACUGGAUACGAGCUGCGAAGGCAUCUUCAGCAGCUGUUAAGAAUUUCGGUCAGGGAUGGGCUCGCGGCCUAUCAGCUUGUUGGUGAGGUAAUGGCUCACCAAGGCGUCGACAGGUAGCCGGCCUGAGAGGGUGACCGGACAAGCUGGGACUGAGAUAAGGCACAGACUCCUAUGGGAGGCAGCAGAGGGGAAUAUUGCACAAUGGGCGAAAGCCUGAUGCAGCAAAGCCGCGUGAGGGACGAGGGGCUGGGGGUUGGAAACCAAUGUUAGCAGGGAAGAAGCGAAAGUGACGGUACCGGCAGAAAAAGCGCCGGCUAACUACGUG
rnacentral:rRNA from 1 species